CCACCUUUUGAAACGCGUCAAAGCGUAACUUUAACACCCAAAAUACCAUUAAUUUUUAUGAACCCCUAAUUUAUAAUGAAUGACUCCAUAUUUAUAUGGAAGACACCAUGCUAGGAUUAGUAACAAGAAUUUAUAAUUCUCCAAAAUGCAAAUAUAAACCAACAUGGAUAGACCAUUGGUAGUUACCGAACCUAAAUUUAAUGCAAUAACAUCCACAAGAAAACUCUGCAGCACUCACUCGUUAACCUAACACCAGCGCAUUACAGGAAAGAUUCAAAAAAAGAGAAGGAAUUCGGCAAAUGACGGCCCCGCCUGUUUACCAAAAACAUCGCCUCUUGACUUAUAAUAAGAGGUCUAGCCUGCCCAGUGAAUUUUAAACGGCCGCGGUAUCCUAACCGCGCGAAGGUAGCAUAAUCACUUGUUCUUUAAAUGGGGACUCGUAUCAACGGCAUCACGAGGGUUUUACUGUCUCCUCUUUUUGAUCAGUGAAAUUGAUCUUCCCGUGAAGAAGCGGGAAUAUUUUUAUAAGACGAGAAGACCCCAUGGAGCUUUAAACCAAAUAACAACUUAACCACUUAUCCCAUAAUAAAUUUAACCCCUGUUAUAAGGUUUUUGGUUGGGGUGACCGCGGAGUAAAGCACAUCCUCCACGACGGAAAGAAUAAAAUCUUUAUUUAAGAACCACACUUCUAGAAAUUAGUAUACUAACGUUUACUGACCCGACAAUCGAUCAACGGACCAAGUUACCCUGGGGAUAACAGCGCAAUCUACUUCGAGAGCUCAUAUCGACAAGUAGGCUUACGACCUCGAUGUUGGAUCAGGGUAUCCCGGUGGUGCAGCCGCUACCGAAGGUUCGUUUGUUCAACGAUUAAAACCCUACGUGAUCUG
rnacentral:rRNA from 1 species